rnacentral:rRNA from 1 species
UACGGAGGGGGCGAGCGUUUAUUCGGAAUUAUUGGGCGUAAAGGGCGCGUAGGCGGCUGAACAAGUCAAAGGUGAAAUCCCUCGGCUCAACUGAGGAACUGCCUUUGAAACUGUUCGGCUUGAGGCCGGGAGGGGUAGCGGAAUUCCCAGUGUAGCGGUGAAAUGCGUAGAUAUUGGGAGGAACACCAGUGGCGAAGGCGCUACCUGGACCGGUUCUGACGCUGAGGCGCGAAAGCGUGGGUAGCAACAGG